GACAGAAAAAGAAGACGAAAAGGGGUACAGCCAGACACGUCUACCUCGAGACAUCAUGGCUGAGUAGCACGCAACACGCAUGCAAGAUCCCUAUGCAUUAUUGGGGGACAUUAGCAAUUGUUAGGCGGAAUGCAUUUGUGUAGGCAUUGAAGGAAGGCUUUUGAAAAUGUUUUGGGGAUCAUAAGGAUGAGCUGCAAGUGUCGGAGUCUGGAGACAUAGUUAAUUUGAAGCAUAUAGAUUUUAGUGCUGUUUCUUUUGAAAUGAAAUUGUUCAAUGAUUAAACUACAACCUACUCACUGAUUUAUUAACAUGCUUGUUGUCUGACAUGCACCUCCUCCUUAGCCUUGGGACCCUUUUCCAGAAUCUGCAGUCAAAUGGCAACAUUAUUAAUCCUGUCAAUAAUGUAUUCUGCUGGGCUUGGGUCUUGUCAUUAGCCCUGAAAGUGGUUGGGCCCCCCCUUAUCAAAUUUGUUUAGUUUUGGGCUUGAAAAACAUUUACAGUGAUAUAUAAAUAUCCUCAGAGCUUAGGAAGAGAAGAAAAAGGAAAAAAGAAAAUCAGACUUUCGUCUCUCCGAAAAAUACCCCCCAUCACCCUCUCUCCCAGUUUUCCUCUGUUUCAGUGUUUCCCACCCUGCCCCUCCCCUCAAAUUCAGCAAAGGAGGGAGGCUGCAUAAAGUUUUCAACGGAAAUCGAAGACUUGUCUCCCGACGGUACAAUAUGACCAGAAAACAUUGGCAUUGGUGGAGUGCUCCAUGUUCGACGUGCUCACAGGCUUGGUCUACUUCUCGAGUUAUUCUCUCGCCUUUGAGGUUUGUUGGUAAAAAUUUCAAAAUUGGUCUUCUUCAAUGUGGUAAAGAUAUUGAAUUUUGGUUUCAAUAGUCCUGUUAAUUUUCAUUCUGUUUAUUGUAAAGGAAAGUCAUGGGAUGGAUUUGUGAUUUUGUAGCCUCGUUUGUCUUGAUCGUUACAAAAGUUCUUACACUACUGGAACUUACAAGUCUUCCCAGUAUUGGCUUUUUUAUUAUUCUGGCUUCGGUGGUUCUCCUUUUGAUUUUACAUUGCUCGUUCUAUGUAUGUAUUCUUCUCUUUCCCAGGUUGCAUUUUGAAGGGCUAUUGGUUUCUGAGUCCUGGACAGUGAUUUGCUA